rnacentral:tRNA from 1 species
GGGGUUGUAGCUCAGUGGUACAGCGUUUGCCUUGCAAGCAUGAGGCCCUGGGUUUGAUCCUCAGCACCA